rnacentral:rRNA from 1 species
CCUACGGGAGGCAGCAGUGAGGAAUAUUGGUCAAUGGGCGCGAGCCUGAACCAGCCAAGUCGCGUGAGGGAAGACGGUCCUAUGGAUUGUAAACCUCUUUUGUCGGGGAGCAAAAGACGCCACGCGUGGCGUUCCGAGAGUACCCGAAGAAAAAGCAUCGGCUAACUCCGUGCCAGCAGCCGCGGUAAGACGGAGGAUGCGAGCGUUAUCCGGAUGUAUUGGGUUUAAAGGGUGCGCAGGCGGAAGAUCAAGUCAGCGGUAAAAUUGAGGGGCUCAACCUCUUCGAGCCGUUGAAACUGGUUUUCUUGAGUGAGCGAGAAGUAUGCGGAAUGCGUGGUGUAGCGGUGAAAUGCAUAGAUAUCACGCAGAACUCCGAUUGCGAAGGCAGCAUACCGGCGCUCAACUGACGCUCAUGCACGAAAGUGUGGGUAUCGAACAGGAUUAGAUACCCCUGUAGUC